rnacentral:rRNA from 1 species
AUUGAACGCUGGCGGCAGGCUUAACACAUGCAAGUCGAACGAGUGGCGGACGGGUGAGUAAUGCUUGGGAAUCUGGCUUAUGGAGGGGGAUAACGACGGGAAACUGUCGCUAAUACCGCGUACCAUAGGAUGAGCCCAAGUGGGAUUAGGUAGUUGGUGGGGUAAAGGCCCACCAAGGCGACGAUCAGUAGCGGGUCUGAGAGGAUGAUCCGCCACACUGGGACUGAGACACGGCCCAGACUCCUACGGGAGGCAGCAGUGGGGAAUUUUGGACAAUGGGCGCAAGCCUGAUCCAGCCAUGCCGCGUGUCUGAAGAAGGCCUUCGGGUUGUAAAGCUCUGUUAAUCGGGAGACGGUACCGGAAUAGAAAGCCACGGCUAACUACGUGCCAGCAGCCGCGGUAAUAC